CUUACCUGGGCUUGACAUGUACGUAGUAGUGAAGGGAAACCGGAACGAGCCUUCGGGCAGCGUAGACAGGUGCUGCAUGGCUGUCGUCAGCUCGUGUCGUGAGAUGUUGGGUUAAGUCCCGCAACGAGCGCAACCCGUGUUGCUAGUUACAAGUGUCUAGCGAGACUGCCGGUAACAAGCCGGAGGAAGGUGCGGAUGAUGUCAAGUCAGCAUGGCCUAUAUGUCCAGGGCUACACACACGCUACAAUGGCUGGUACAAAGAGAAGCGAAAGGGAGACCUGAAGCGAAUCUCAUCAAAGCCAGUCAUAGUUCGGAUUGCAGGCUGCAACUCGCCUGCAUGAAGUCGGAGUUGCUAGUAACCGCAGGUCAGCAAUACUGCGGUGAAUACGUUCCCGGGCCUUGUACACAC
rnacentral:rRNA from 1 species